rnacentral:tRNA from 16 species
UUAGUAAAGUGGUUAAAGCAUGCGGCUCAUGAGCCGUAGGUCCCGGGUUCAAUUCCCG